rnacentral:rRNA from 1 species
CUGGCUCAGGAUGAACGCUAGCGACAGGCCUAACACAUGCAAGUCGAGGGGCAGCGCGGGAGAAGCUUGCUUUCCUGGCGGCGACCGGCGCACGGGUGCGUAACAGGUGUGCAAUCUGUCCAUAGUCGGGGGGAUAGCCCAGCGAAAGCUGAAUUAACACUCCAUGUGAAUCGAAGCCGCAUGACUUUGAUUUGAAACGAAAGGACUAUGGGUGAGCACGCUUCUGAUUAGCUAGUUGGUGGGGUAACGGCCCACCAAGGCGACGAUCAGUAGGGGUUCUGAGAGGAAGGUCCCCCCACAUUGGAACUGAGACACGGUCCAAACUCCUACGGGAGGCAGCAGUGAGGAAUAUUGGUCAAUGGGCGAGAGCCUGAACCAGCCAAGUCGCGUAGAAGGAUGAAGGUUCUAUGGAUUGUAAACUUCUUUUGUCCGAGGGUAAAAAAGGCUACGUGUAGCUUCUUGCAAGUAUCGGACGAAUAAGCAUCGGCUAACUCCGUGCCAGCCGCUGC